rnacentral:rRNA from 1 species
UGGCACUGAGACACGGGCCAGACUCCUACGGGAGGCAACAGUAAGGGAUAUUGCCCAAUGGACGCCAGUCUGAGGCAGCAACGCCGCGUGGAGGAUGAAGGCCUUCGGGUUGAAACUCCUUUUCUGUGGGAAGAGGCAGGACGGUACCACAGGAAGAAGUCUCGGCUAACUACGUGCCAGCAGCCGCGGGUAAACGUAGGAUGCGAGCGUUAUCCGGAUUUACUGGGCGUAAAGCGCACGCAUGUGGUAGCCAAAGUGGUGCGUGAAAGCUCUCGGCUCAAGUGGGAGAGGACGUAGCAAACUAGGGUACUGGAGACAGGUAGAUGCUGACGGAAUUCCGGGUGGAGUGGUGAAAUGCGUAGAGAUCCGGAGGAAGACCAGUGGCGAAGGCGUUCAACUGGGCCUGGACUGACACUGAGGUGCGAAAGCGUGUGGAUCGCACGGGAUUAGUAACCCCGGUAGUCCACGCCGUGUACGAUGCAGACUAGAUGUUGGGCUCCGAGAGGGCUUUAGUGUCGAAGCUAACGCGAUAAGUCUACCGCCUGGGGAGUACGGUCGCAAGGCUAAAACUCAAAGGAAUUGACGCGGGCCCGCACAAGCAGCGGAGCGUGUGGUUUAAUUCGAGGCUACGCGAAGUACCUUACCUGGGCUUGUACAUCAACGGUAGUAGGGAAACGAAAGUGGACCGACCUUCGGGAGCCGUGACAGGUGCUGCAUGGCUGUCGUCAGCUCGUGCCGUGAGGUGUUCGGUUAAGUCCGAAAACGUGCGCAACCCCUGGCGUUAGUUACAAGUGUCUAACGCGACUGCCUGGGGAAACCAGGAGGAAGGUGGGGAUGACGUCAAGUCAGCAUGGCCUUGAUGCCCAGGGCUACACACACGCUACAAUGGUCGGCACAAUAGGCAGCCAAGCCGCAAGGCGGAGCGAAUCCACCAAAGCCGAUCCCAGUUCGGAUUGUAGGCUGCAACUCGCCUGCAUGAAGUCGGAGUUGCUAGUAUACGCGGAUCAGCCACGCCGCGUUGUAUACGUUCCCGGGCUUUGUACACACCGCCCGUCACGUCA